rnacentral:tRNA from 5 species
GCCCCUAUAGCUCAGUCGGUAGAGCUACGGACUUUUAAUCCGCAGGUCCCAGGUUCGAGCCCUGGUGGGGGCACAA